rnacentral:rRNA from 1 species
GCAUAUCAAUAAGCGGAGGAAAAGAAACCAACAGGGAUUGCCCUAGUAACGGCGAGUGAAGCGGCAACAGCUCAAAUUUGAAAUCUGGCGCAAGCCCGAGUUGUAAUUUGUAGAGGAUGCUUCGGGGCAGCGGCCGGUCUAAGUCCCUUGGAACAGGGCGUCAUAGAGGGUGAGAAUCCCGUAUGCGACCGGCUGGCACCCCACACGUAGCUCCUUCGACGAGUCGAGUUGUUUGGGAAUGCAGCUCUAAAUGGGAGGUAAAUUUCUUCUAAAGCUAAACACCGGCCAGAGACCGAUAGCGCACAAGUAGAGUGAUCGAAAGAUGAAAAGCACUUUGGAAAGAGAGUUAAACAGCACGUGAAAUUGUUGAAAGGGAAGCGCAUGCUACCAGACUUGCCGGCGGCGUUCACCCGGUCUUCUGACCGGGCCACUCGUCGUCGGCAGGCCAGCAUCACUUGGGGCCGCCGCAGAAAGGCGGAGGGAAUGUAGCUCUUCGGAGUGUUAUAGCCCCUCGCACAAUUCGGCGCGCCCCGGGUGAGGUCCGCGCUUCGGCUAGGAUGCUGGCGUAAUGGUCGUAUGCGGCCCGUCUUGAAACACGGACCAAGGAGUCUACCAUCUAUGCGAGUGUUCGGGUGUCAAACCCCUACGCGCAAUGAAAGUGAACGGAGGUGGGAACCUUUACCGGUGCACCAUCGACCGAUCCUGAUGUCUUCGGAUGGAUUUGAGUAAGAGCAUAGCUGGUGGGACCCGAAAGAUGGUGAACUAUGCCUGAAUAGGGUGAAGCCAGAGGAAACUCUGGUGGAGGCUCGCAGCGGUUCUGACGUGCAAAUCGAUCGUCAAAUUUGGGUAUAGGGGCGAAAGACUAAUCGAACCAUCUAGUAGCUGGUUCCUGCCGA